rnacentral:rRNA from 1 species
ACUUGGUGUUACUGCGAAGGGGGGACGGAGAAGGCUAUGUUGGCCGGGCGACGGUUGUCCCGGUUUAAGCGUGUAGGCUGGUUUUCCAGGCAAAUCCGGAAAAUCAAGGCUGAGGCGUGAUGACGAGGCACUACGGUGCUGAAGCAACAAAUGCCCUGCUUCCAGGAAAAGCCUCUAAGCAUCAGGUAACAUCAAAUCGUACCCCAAACCGACACAGGUGGUCAGGUAGAGAAUACCAAGGCGCUUGAGAGAACUCGGGUGAAGGAACUAGGCAAAAUGGUGCCGUAACUUCGGGAGAAGGCACGCUGAUAUGUAGGUGAAGCGACUUGCUCGUGGAGCUGAAAUCAGUCGAAGAUACCAGCUGGCUGCAACUGUUUAUUAAAAACACAGCACUGUGCAAACACGAAAGUGGACGUAUACGGUGUGACGCCUGCCCGGUGCCGGAAGGUUAAUUGAUGGGGUCAGCGCAAGCGAAGCUCUUGAUCGAAGCCCCGGUAAACGGCGGCCGUAACUAUAACGGUCCUAAGGUAGCGAAAUUCCUUGUCGGGUAAGUUCCGACCUGCACGAAUGGCGUAAUGAUGGCCAGGCUGUCUCCACCCGAGACUCAGUGAAAUUGAACUCGCUGUGAAGAUGCAGUGUACCCGCGGCAAGACGGAAAGACCCCGUGAACCUUUACUAUAGCUUGACACUGAACAUUGAGCCUUGAUGUGUAGGAUAGGUGGGAGGCUUUGAAGUGUGGACGCCAGUCUGCAUGGAGCCGACCUUGAAAUACCACCCUUUAAUGUUUGAUGUUCUAACGUUGACCCGUAAUCCGGGUUGCGGACAGUGUCUGGUGGGUAGUUUGACUGGGGCGGUCUCCUCCUAAAGAGUAACGGAGGAGCACGAAGGUUGGCUAAUCCUGGUCGGACAUCAGGAGGUUAGUGCAAUGGCAUAAGCCAGCUUGACUGCGAGCGUGACGGCGCGAGCAGGUGCGAAAGCAGGUCAUAGUGAUCCGGUGGUUCUGAAUGGAAGGGCCAUCGCUCAACGGAUAAAAGGUACUCCGGGGAUAACAGGCUGAUACCGCCCAAGAGUUCAUAUCGACGGCGGUGUUUGGCACCUCGAUGUCGGCUCAUCACAUCCUGGGGCUGAAGUAGGUCCCAAGGGUAUGGCUGUUCGCCAUUUAAAGUGGUACGCGAGCUGGGUUUAGAACGUCGUGAGACAGUUCGGUCCCUAUCUGCCGUGGGCGCUGGAGAACUGAGGGGGGCUGCUCCUAGUACGAGAGGACCGGAGUGGACGCAUCACUGGUGUUCGGGUUGUCAUGCCAAUGGCACUGCCCGGUAGCUAAAUGCGGAAGAGAUAAGUGCUGAAAGCAUCUAAGCACGAAACUUGCCCCGAGAUGAGUUCUCCCUGACUCCUUGAGAGUCCUGAAGGAACGUUGAAGACGACGACGUUGAUAGGCCGGGUGUGUAAGCGCAGCGAUGCGUUGAGCUAACCGGUACUAAUGAACCGUGAGG